CUUUGGAGUAUGAACUCCACUGAGCCCACUGUCGUAAUAAAGGUUUUUCUCCACCUCUUCAAGUGACCAUCAGAUGCUCGAGUCUUCAAAUUGCAAUAGCUGUGAUGCUGAGCUGUGACACUCUGCUGUAACACUGAGCUCUAACACUUGGCUGUGCCUCAGAGCUGUAACACUUGGCUAUAGCACUGAGCUGUUCUGCUUUGCCACAACACCCAGAGCACUGGGAUUACAGGUGUAGCCCACAUUAGCUCAGAGGGAAUGUUGUAUAUUUUUGGGGGGUACCAGGGUUUGAACUCAGGACCUUGUGCUUGUGAGGCAGGCGGUGGAACCACUGAGCUAAAUCCCCAGCCUGGGAAUGUUGUAUUAAAUCAUCACUGCCAGACCAUCAGUUUUCUCUCUGAAGAUACACACCAGGUCAUGGAGCAGAAGCGGUAAACUCACAGAGGUGCUGAAUGACCAACAAGUGACAAGAACCUGUUGAUGUGAGUGUAACAAGGGCAGAAGUCAGUUGGAUCCAGACUACAAGUAGCAGAUUAUCCUGAGCUUCAUCAGAUGGUAACUCUAAUUGCAACUGCUGCCCUAGAUAAAAUUCUUUCCUGAAGAAAAUUAGUGCAGCCUCUGGUACCUGAUAGAGGUUACUGAGUCAGCAAUUUCUUUCCUCUAGCCCAGCGCACAGAGAACACGAAAGGCAGUGGGCGCUUAUCUGACACGGACUCAGCCCCGGCACAGUGUCCACACAGGAGGUCGUGUUUGGCACUGGGCUGGCAUUUCACGUGCAGAGCCCUUUGUCAUCGUCUCAUAACCCAUGGGGGUCAGCCUGGCCACCACCCUGACUUGACCUGCAGUCGGGAAGGACCAGGGAGAACAGAGCUGCUUUGUAUGUCCGGAAUCUUCCGAUCAGCACCUGUCUGGGUUGCUAUGUAUGUAUCCACGUUGACAGUUCAUGUACUGCAGUGUAUUUAUCACCUCCCUUUCGAAUUGAACUGAGAACUCUAAGCGCCUGAUUUAAACCAUCAGCUGGAGAGCUUGCUGAGGCAGGCACAGCUGAAAGGCUUGGGCUCUGUGGUUGCCGAGCAAGACCUGAGCAGUCAGUCGCCCCUUGAACUGUAGGGCUCUGCACCUUGCUUCCCUAUGCUCACCACUUGUGGUAUUUGGAACUGGAUAGAGCCAGAAAUUCCAAAAAGAAGCCACCUCAGCAAAAUCAACAAUCUGUUUUUCCUUGAAAAUUCAAAGACGCACUAGACAAAUGAGUCCCUCUGAAAAGCUGUCCUUUUGUAAAGGAAAAUGAUAUCUACAAAGAAAAAUGAUCACCAGACAAGGUACCGGGAAGAGAGGCUUCAGACAACUUCUACAGCCUGAAAGCCUUUCAUCUACAAAAAGCAAACUGCUUUAUCCACCGUCCAUUUCCUUCUCUCCCUCUUAUAAUUUGUCUCCAUCUGCCCCAGAAGCCCGGUGCUCUUCCUGCCCUCAGGAUGCUCUAUAAACCUCGGUCAUGGGACCUUUCUGUGUGUCUCAUACUUUGGUGGGAUUUCCAUGUGUGAGAAAGCAGUUACAAUGGUUUCUCUCCUAUGUCAGUUUAAACUGUAGCCAAAGACGCCAGGAGGGCAGAGAGAAGCCAAGGGUCCCUCUCCCCAAAGGCAAGGCGAUGGGGUGGGAACUUGGAGGGGCCAGAGGAAGGGCAGAGAACCUAGUGGGAGACACUGACCCCUGGCCCCAGACAGAGCCAAGCCUCCGAGGGACGAAGGCCACCUCCCGGUUUCCUGUGCAAGGUGCUAACUACAUGGGGAAGGUCACCACUUACCGGUCUGUGGGAGAGAAUCUAGGUCCGCAAGUUUGGUCUGGGUGAGGACGGGGAACUUGGACCACAGCAGAGUACAGCGAUGUACUGUAGCUGGCCCGGCCAUUGUACUUCUGUCUCCUAGAAGCCUAUAGCCACCUGAAGGAAGGUGAAGUGCUCUGUGGCUGCACAGCAUGAGCACCACUUCCUCUGAGACCCCAGUCAGGAGAGAGGUUCCACACAUCCCUGGGGGAGCUCUUCCUGGAGCUGGGCAGAAAGGACAACAAACACGUUUCCACCAAGUAUCCAACGCCAUCAUAACCCCCUGACCACAUGGCCACAGGCGGCAAGUGUAGGCCACUCAGGAGCAUGGGGAGGACAGUGUGAGGGUUCCCAUGACCUCAGCCUGAUGCUGUCCACACUGGAGAAACAGCUCCCUCCGCUAAGUGAGCCCAGGCACCUGCUUUCUGGUACUGGAGGAACAGCUCUGGAGGCAUGCAAGGGAACAUGCUUCCAGAGCAGAUCUGCCGCUGGGCAUCUGACUGUCCCUGAACUACAGGGAGUCCAGAGGAACAGUGACGGUGAGGACAAGAACGAGGGGUCAGCAGCAGCUCCACUCCUGUUGUUCUUCACAGUUUACAGCUGGAGGGCACUCUUGGGCAUCCCCCUCCCUGCUGUGGCAUCUCCAACUCCUGCUUUUUCUCUUGUGAAAGUGGAGGCCGUUCUUGGCAAGUCUCUUUCUUUCUAGCUGAUAUUCUAGAGUCAACUUUGACGAUGCCUCUUCCUUCUCUUGCUUCAGCAAGCACAUUGUCUGCUUCCCCAUUGACAAAUCUCCAUCCAGCUCCUUCCCCCCUGCUGUGCCCACUUAACACACCAGGUUAGGAGUGAAGGGUGCAAGGAAAUGUGAGAUUCAGUCCCUGUGAUCAGGAUGUCACUGUGAGCUAACCAAUAUGUCAGGAUGGAAGGACCUCCACUAUUUUGGUAAAAUAGACUCAGUGUGUUGGUUGGAAAGUUUCGUUUCGGCUUGAUUUGAUUUGAUUUUUCCAUGAUCAACACUUUGAUGAGAUACUGCUCUUCUCAAACCUUUCUUUAACCACCAAAGACUCCCCCAAAAUCUCUGAUGUACACUUACAUACAAUAUCUUAGGUGCCCGGCUAAGGGCUUCAUAACAACGGGCUCCUGGGCUGAGGUGUAGCUCAGUGGUAGAGCACUUGCAGAGCGUGUAUGAGGCCUUGAGUUUGAUCUGUAGACACACACACACACACACAAAUAAUAAUAGUUCUUAUGAUAAAUACAGCUGAUAAAAUUUCCAGAAUGUUCUAAAUUUAAUCGCAAAGACCACAGGGUGGUAGUGGGUUAGUCAGCUAACAGCUGCUGGCAAAACCAACAAGAAGACUGCUUAUGUUUGAAUGGGAUUUAUGAUUUAAACACCAGGGCUUUAUUGCUGUACACAUAAACUCUCUGGACCAUUGAUACCAACCAAUCCAAGAGCAACAAGAAGAACUACUUCUCCUUCUCCUUCUCCUUCUUCUCCUCCUCCUCCUUCUUCUUUUCUUUGUUUUAGCUUUGGAGCUGGGGAUUGAACCCAGCAAGCUCACACAUGCUAAGUGCGUGUUCUACCCCGAGCUCCACCCGAGCCUGCUUGUCCUCAGUCCUCCUGUCCCUCCUGUGCCUGCUGCACCUGAUCCACCCCUCCUAUCUAGAAUCAGUGCAGGUUACUCUGUAGGAAGUGCUUUCCUUCUCCCAAGUUUAUUAAAAAUGCUCUGAGUUCUGGCCUGGUGACAUUUUCCAACUGCCACCUGGCCCUGCUGCUGGUAAUUGUGGAAACUCGUCCCAGGACCUGGUGCCUUUUCUGCCUAACAUCUCUAAUGGCUCAAGAAACUCUUUCAUUUCAGAGAUCCUUUGGUCUCUAGAGUUUCAACCUCACAUAUAAUUUUGAUAUGAUGUACAUUUCCUUAGCCAG
ensembl:lncRNA